rnacentral:rRNA from 1 species
UAGGGAAUCUUCCGCAAUGGGCGAAAGCCUGACGGAGCAACGCCGCGUGAGUGAUGAAGGUCUUCGGAUCGUAAAACUCUGUUAUUAGGGAAGAACAUAUGUGUAAGUAACUGUGCACAUCUUGACGAUACCUAAUCAGAAAGCCACGGCUAACUACGUGCCAGCAGCCGCGGUAAUACGUAGGUGGCAAGCGUUAUCCGGAAUUAUUGGGCGUAAAGCGCGCGUAGGCGGUUUUUUAAGUCUGAUGUGAAAGCCCACGGCUCAACCGUGGAGGGUCAUUGGAAACUGGAAAACUUGAGUGCAGAAGAGGAAAGUGGAAUUCCAUGUGUAGCGGUGAAAUGCGCAGAGAUAUGGAGGAACACCAGUGGCGAAGGCGACUUUCUGGUCUGUAACUGACGCUGAUGUGCGAAAGCGUGGGGAUCAAACA